rnacentral:rRNA from 1 species
GACGAACGCUGGCGGCGUGCUUAACACAUGCAAGUCGAACGGAAAGGCCCUGCUUGCAGGGUACUCGAGUGGCGAACGGGUGAGUAACACGUGGGUGAUCUGCCCUGCACUUCGGGAUAAGCCUGGGAAACUGGGUCUAAUACCGGAUAGGAGCCAUUUUUAGUGUGAUGGUUGGAAAGUUUUAUCGGUGUAGGAUGAGCUCGCGCCUAUCAGCUUGUUGGUGGGGUAAUGGCCUACCAAGGCGGCGACGGGUAGCCGGCCUGAGAGGGUGGACGGCCACAUUGGGACUGAGAUACGGCCCAGACUCCUACGGGAGGCAGCAGUGGGGAAUAUUGCACAAUGGGCGCAAGCCUGAUGCAGCGACGCCGCGUGGGGGAUGACGGCCUUCGGGUUGUAAACUCCUUUCGCUAGGGACGAAGCUUUUUGUGACGGUACCUAGAGAAGAAGCACCGGCUAACUACGUG